rnacentral:sRNA from 1 species
AUUGGAUUCUCACUACACAGUUGUGGCUAUCCUAGAGCUCUCUAUGCAAACCCAAUUAGCCUCAAACUCCUGGAGAUCCACCUGCUUCGGCCUCCUGAGCGCUAGAUUAGAGGUGAGGUCUCGCCCCCAAAGGUGGACCUAGGCUGGUAGCCAGACAACCCCACGGAUGCUCUGAUGUCCACUUCCCGGAGAACUGAGAUUAAAGUGCACAAAACGCUCAGCUUCACUUGCUCUCCCAAACCUCCGGCGCAGUCACACACAUCAUAUGGUACCCACCGCGGGGCAUCGCAGUCACACGCAUCAUACGGUACCCACCUCGGGGCAGGGCAGGUGCUUGGGUGUCUUUCUUUCAGCCAUUCCCAGGCUGCGGCCUUCAUUUUUUAACAUAUAUAUAUUUGGUAGGAUGCCCCAUGUACGUUCUAUGUUAGGGAAAUAGGUUUUCCGUGCCAGAGAACACAAAGGGGUGGAUGGAUGGACAGUGAAUGGUUAGGCGGACGGGUGGAUGGCAGAUGGCGUUUUAGUUUCCGUUCCAUUGCUGUGAGGAAAUGCAUGGCCAGAAGCAACUUGGGGGGCAGGGUAUUUCAGCUUUCACUUCCAGGUCAAAGUUCAUCGUUGAGGAAAGUCAGGACCUGAACUUAAGCAGAAACUCAAAGCAGAACCCGUGGAGGAGCGCCGAUUGCUAGCUCGACCACAGGCUCAUGCUCACGUGACUCCCUUAUACAGCCCAGGAAUGGACUCACCUCUCAAGUCAAUCGUCAAUCAAGACUAUCCCUCAGAGUGUAGCCCUGGGCUACUCUGGCCUUAAGAAUCCCUCAGCUGAGACUCCCUCAGAUAACUCUACACUGUGUCAAGCUGACGGUUUAAGCUAACUAGGACAGAUGGGUAACUGGGUGGAUAA